GUUUCUCAUCGCUCGAAGAAAACAAGAGGUGGAAAAGACAACUAAUAAUUUCAAAAUUUUACAAUCAUAUAAAAAUUAUAAAUGCAGUAAUAAUUAUUAUUUUUAUUCUUUCUAUUUAUAGGUUCAGGUUCUUCGAAAUGCUGGAGAAGAAGUGACCUUAACGCUGUCAUUUUUAAAAAGAGCACCUGCUUUCCUCAAACUCCCACUGAAUGACGACUGUACAUGUGCUCCAAGUGACCAGAGCAGUGGCACCUCCUCCCCUCUUUGUGACAGUGGCUUGCAUCUUAACUAUCAUCCCAACAACACAGACACGCUGUCGUGCUCCUCCUGGCCGACCUCCCCAGGCCUGCGGUGGGAGAAGCGAUGGUGCGACCUCAGGCUCAUCCCGCUGCUGCAUUCGCGCUUCUCACAGUACUUGGCUGGGACCGACCUGAGCCGGU
rnacentral:lncRNA from 1 species